rnacentral:lncRNA from 1 species
AUGUGAUGACGUGAUUAAACUAUGUGCUGACUGUAAUAGACAGUACUAUGUGUUAAGAUAUAUUGUUCUAAUCGAACGAAUGAUCUGAUUAUUGAUAGGUUGUGAUAAAGAGAUAAAACCUAAGUUGAGAUUUGUAAUCAGUGAAUCAGGCAAGUAUCUUACCUUUGCAUUUCCUUUAUGCAAUGGACAUGAGUAAGAAGUUUCAGAAUUAUUCUAUUCCAGUAUAGAUUAUGUACGCUUUGAUUAUCAACAUGUUAGCUCAGAUAUAUAUUCUGUUAAGUUGAUUUCUAAAUGGUUAUACAAGUGUCCCCACUUGGAUAAUCAUGGCAUUUAUUCACAUGUUGAUAUACCUUUGUCAAUUACCCGUAUACAUAUAUGUUGAAUUACAUAUUAUUGUUGAGCAAGAUUAAAAACCUUCGGGUUUGGAACCAGGCAUGUAUGAACAUCCCUAUAUGGGAAGAUUUUUGCGCCCAAGGCGGAUAGAGUGAGCGAUGAAUUUCGUUCAAGUUAUGUAGUAUUGAUCAAUACAGGGUACAACGGGGCUGAUCACCCUCCGUGCCCGUAAGCUAUGACGGUUUGCGGAUGAAUUUCUGCUAAACCUUUUCGAAAAUGAAAAACAAUGUUCAUAGUAUGUUUCUUAAACCCUAUUCAUGGGUGGAGCCUAAUUUCAAGAAAUUGAAAGAGAGUUGUUAUGUGAAUCUUUUAUCAGUACAGAUUACUUCACAACUUUUGAUUCGUUGUAGAAGUGUUAUGUAAAGAGAAUACUUAUAUUCUUUCAGCUUAUAUAUAUAAUUGCUAUUACUUGUUGG